rnacentral:lncRNA from 1 species
UUUUUUUCUUUUAGAUGCCAUGAACCCCUCCUAAAUAGGAUAAUCCUGAUGAAAUGGGUCCGCAGACCCAGUUUGAAAUGUGUCAACAACAACAAAAUAUGAUCAAUAUGCAUCCGCUGGAGUACUUCCUGCUGAAAAUGCCACUUCAUUGAACAAUUAAUUAUUCUAAUGAUAGGCCACUACUCAACACUGCUUUUUAUACUUGCGUAGGAGACAGACAGAGAGGAGGAGGAAAGAGAAAAGAAGAAAGCGUAGUCAGCCUGUGUUGCUGCAGGAGUGACAGUAAUACAGCAUGCGAAAUCUAGGUGAGAAGAAGGGUGAAUUUUAAUAAAACAAUGACAGAGUGGAGUUUUUCAGUAAAGUGAGAAUAUAGCACCUAAUGGAAUCUUUUACUUGUUUAUUUAUUUAGUCAAACUGUAUUAGCAGGAUGUCCUCAACUUUUCUGCAGCUUCAUUAUCUUUUUUUUUUUUUUUUUUUGCAACUAUUAUUUAUUUUAUCAUUAUGACUGUUGAAUGCCUUUUGGAUCUGAGAUAAACUUUGAUUAGAAUUUUUUGCAGUCAUAUAAAAUACAUUUAAAUGUUGUCUUAUGCAGAAAAUGAUUUAUUCACAGACGAUGCAAUCUGAUACCAGGAUCAUCGUAUCAACAUCCUUUUUUAAAAAUUGACCGCUUAUCAGUCAGAUGUAACUAAUCCAAAUACAAAUGUCAACCUUCAAAGCUCUAAAAAUGCCAAAAGCACCAUAAAAGUAGCAUAAAGAUAGUUCAUAUAUCUUAUUUUUAAUAUCUCCAGCUAUGCACUAGUAAUACAAUUAUUAAAUCACAAAAUCCACUAACUUUAAAAGCCACUUGAGGUGGUCAAAGUACAGAUCUUGGUAACAAGCACAACUUCAUAUUUUAAUAAAGCAUUAAAUGUUGAAUGUUUAUGCUAUGUUUAUUAACUAACAUACAUUAACUAA